UAGGGCUCUGGUUGGCUGUCAGGCUGUAACAGGAAACAUGUACAUCAGGGUGAACAUAAAUCAUAUAUAAAACAUUUUAUCCGCCUCACAAUGUCGAUUAUUUAGAGGGCAAGAUUACUUUCGAGGUGUUUGAGUGGCGGAGAGAGGAAAGAGAUGAAAAGAAAAGAAGGAGAAGGGAAAUGUUUCAAAUGAAAAUGAGACUGCAGAUCAAGAGGAUGCAGUCCGGUCCACCUCUAAACAAUGUGCUAAAUGGGCACGGAAAUGACAGAAAAGACUGAUGAGGGGGUCAGCCCAUCUGUCCAGAAAGCUUUUGCCUCCAUGAUCGGAGAAGGACUAGAGGAGACAGUGGAGCAAGUUGAAGAUUUGAAGAUGGAGUGGAGAGACAUCAGAGAGGAGGACGGAGAUGAUGAGGAUGACAAAGAGGAAAAUGACGGCAAUGAAAUGGAGCUGAACCGUGAGAAUAAGGAAAUGAUGAAGGACAGUAUUCCAGCAUGAAUAACGACCCCAAACACACCUCCAAGAUGACCACUGCCUUGCUAAAGAAGCUGAGGGUGAAGGUGAUGGACUGGCCAAGCAUGUCUCCAGACCUAAACCCUAUUGAGCAUCUGUGGGUCAUACUCAAAAGGAAGGUGGAGGAGCACAAGGUCUCUAACAUCCACCAACUCCCAGAGUGCAAGAGGACUCCAGUGGCAACAUGUGAAGCUCUGGUGAACUCCAUGCCCAAGAGGGUUAAAGCAGUGCUGGAAAAUAAUGGUGGCCACACAAAAUAUUGACUUUGGGCCCAAAUUGGACAUUUUCACUUAGGGGUGUACUCACUUUUGUUGCCAGCGGUUUAAACAUUAAUGGCUGUGUGUUGAGUUAUUUUGAGGGGACAGCAAAUUUACACUGUUAUACAAGCUGUACACUCACUACUUUACAUUGUAGCAAAGUGUAAUUUCUUCAGUGUUGUCACAUGAAAAGAUAUAAUCAAAUAUUUACAAAAAUGUGAGAGGUGUACUCACUUUUGUGAGAUACUGUAUAUAUACGGUGCAUCCGGAAUGUAUUCACAACGCUUCACUUUUUCCACAUUUUGUUCUGUUACAGCCUUAUUCCAAAAUGGAUUAAAUUAAUUAUUCUAAAAAUCCUAAAUUCUAAAAAAACAAUACCCCAUAAUAACAACAUGAAGUUUGUUUGAAAUAUAUGCAAAUUUAUUAAAAAUUAAAAACGACAGCCUUUGCUCAAUACUUUGUUGAAGCACUUUUGGCACCAAUUACAGCCUCAAGUCUUAUGAGUAUGAUGCUACAAGCUUGGCACACCUAUUUUUGGGCAGUUUCUCCCAUUCUUCUUUGCAGGACCUCUCAAGCUCCAUCAGGUUGGAUGUGGAGUGUCGGUGCAAAGCCAUUUUCAGAUCUCUCCAGAGAUGUUCAAUCGGGUUCAAGUCUGGGCUCUGGCUGGGCUACUCAAGGACAUUCCCAGAGUUGUCCCUUAGCUACUCCUUUGUUAUCUUGGCUGUGUGCUUAGGGUCAUUGUCCUGUUGGAAGAUGAACCUUCACCACAGUCUGAGGUCCAGAGCGCUCUGGAGCAGGUUUUCAUCAAGGAUGUCUCUGUACAUUGCUGCUUUCAUCUUUCUCUCAUUCCUGACAAGUCUCCCAGUUCCUGCCGCUGAAAAACAUCCCCGCAGCAUGAUGCUGCCACCACCAUGCUUCACUGUAGGGAUGGUAUUGGCCAGGUGAUGAGUGGUGCCUGGUUUCCUCCAGACACGACGCUUGCCAUUUAGGCCAAAGUGUUCAUUUCAUCUUUGUUUCAUCAGACCAGAGAAUUUUGUUUCUCAUGGUCUGAGAGUCCUUCAGGUUCCUUUUGGCAAACUCCAGCCAGGCUGUCAUGUGCCUUUUACUGAAGAGUGGCUUCUGUCUGGGCCCUCUACCAUACAGACCUGAUUUGUCGAGUGCUGCAGAGAUGGUUGUUCUCCUCUCUCCACAGAGAAAUGCUGGAGCUCUGUCAGAGUGACCAUCGAGUUCUUGGUCACCUCCCUGACUAAGGCCCUUCUCCCCCGAUCGCUCAGUUUGGCCGGGCGGCCAGCUCUAGGAAGAGUCCUGGUGGUUCCAAACUUCUUUCAUUCACGGAUGAUGGAGGCCAUUGUGCUCAUCGGGACCUGCAAUGCUGCAGAAAUGUUUCUGUACCCUUCCCCAGAUCUGUGCCUCGAAACAAUCCUGUCUCAGAGGUCUACAGACAAUUCCUUGGACUUCAUGGCUUGGUUUGUGCUCUGACAUGCACUGUUAACUGUGGGACCUUAUAUAGACAGGUGUGUGCCUUUCCAAAUCAUGUCCAAUCAACUGAAUUUACCACAGGUGGACUCCAAUCAAGUUGUAGAAACAUCUCAAGGAUGAUCAGUGGAAACAGGAUGCACAUGAGCUCAAUUUUGAGUGUCAUGGCAAAGGCUGUGAAUACUUAUGUAUAUGAGAUUUUUGCGUGUUUUAUUUUUAAUAAAUUUGCAAAGCUUUCAAACAAACUUCUUUCACGUUGUCAUUAUGGGGUAUUGUUUGUAGAAUUU